rnacentral:tRNA from 1 species
GGACGCUGUAUAGUGUAAAAAUAUUUUUGCAGAAAUUUUUUCCGUACACUGGUUUGCUAAACCGACGUACGGGGCAACCUGUACCACGAGUUCGAAUCUCGUCCUCUCCG